GACGAACGCUGGCGGCGUGCUUAACACAUGCAAGUCGAACGGAAAGGCCCUGCUUUUGUGGGGUGCUCGAGUGGCGAACGGGUGAGUAACACUUGAGUAACCUGCCCUUGACUUUGGGAUAACUUCAGGAAACUUGGGCUAAUACCGGAUAGGAGCUCCUGCUGCAUGGUGGGGGUUGGAAAGUUUCGGCGGUUGGGGAUGGACUCGCGGCUUAUCAGCUUGUUGGUGGGGUAGUGGCUUACCAAGGCUUUGACGGGUAGCCGGCCUGAGAGGGUGACCGGCCAAAUUGGGACUGGGAUAAGGCACAGACUCGUACGGGAGGCAGCAGUGGGGAAUAUUACACAAUGGGAGGAAGCCUGAUGCAGCAACGCCGCGUGCGGGAUGACGGCCUUCGGGUUGUAAACCGCUUUCGCCUGUGACGAGGCGUGAGUGACGGUAAUGGGUAAAGAAGCACCGGCUAACUACGUG
rnacentral:rRNA from 1 species